AGGCCCUGAAAGCUAGUGGCGGGCUCGCUAUAACUCCGAGCGUAGUAGUAAAAUAUCUCGCUAGGGAGGUGUCGCGGGUUCCGGCCGUGAAAGCCCAUCUUUUACACAAGGUUGACCUCGGAUCAGGUAGGAAUACCCGCUGAACUUAAGCAUAUCAAUAAGCGGAGGAAAAGAAACCAACAGGGAUUGCCCCAGUAACGGCGAGUGAAGCGGCAACAGCUCAAAUUUGAAAUCUGGCUUCGGCCCGAGUUGUAAUUUGUAGAGGAUGCUUUUGGUGAGGUGCCUUCUGAGUUCCCUGGAACGGGACGCCAGAGAGGGUGAGAGCCCCGUAUAGUUGGACACCGAGCCUCUGUAAAGCUCCUUCGACGAGUCGAGUAGUUUGGGAAUGCUGCUCAAAAUGGGAGGUAUAUCUCUUCUAAAGCUAAAUACUGGCCAGAGACCGAUAGCGCACAAGUAGAGUGAUCGAAAGAUGAAAAGCACUUUGAAAAGAGGGUUAAAUAGUACGUGAAAUUGUUGAAAGGGAAGCGCUUGUGACCAGACUUGUGCCCGGCUGAUCAUCCAGUGUUCUCACUGGUGCACUCUGCCGGGCUCAGGCCAGCGUCGGUUCUCGCAGGGGGACAAAAGCUUCGGGAACGUAGCUCCUCCGGGAGUGUUAUAGCCCGUUGCUCAAUACCCCUGCGGGACCGAGGU
rnacentral:rRNA from 1 species